GCCCUGGACAUUGACCUUCAUGGGGUUUAUUUAUUACUCAAUUCACUUAAUGACCCAGCCAGUUUAGUGCCCAGACCAACAAUUGAACCAGAUGGGUUGGAUUUGACAACAGUGCAGUAUAGUUGAGUGGUCAAUGGAGGAUAAUUUCCAGCCCCUAAAUGAUUACCUUAUUCGAUAACACUUGCUUAUGGACUAACUCAGGUGAUAUCCUUG
rnacentral:misc_RNA from 1 species